rnacentral:rRNA from 1 species
AACGAACGCUGGCGGCAUGCCUAACACAUGCGAGUCGAACGAGACCUUCGGGUCUAGUGGCGCACGGGUGCGUAACGCGUGGGAACCUGCCCUUAGGUUCGGAAUAACUCCCCGAAAGGGGUGCUAAUACCGGAUAAUGUCUUCGGACCAAAGAUUUAUCGCCUUUGGAUGGGCCCGCGUUGGAUUAGCUAGUUGGUAGGGUAAAAGCCUACCAAGGCGACGAUCCAUAGCUGGUCUGAGAGGAUGAUCAGCCACACUGGGACUGAGACACGGCCCAGACUCUUACGGGAGGCAGCAGUGGGGAAUAUUGGACAAUGGGCGAAAGCCUGAUCCAGCAAUGCCGCGUGAGUGAUGAAGGCCUUAGGGUUGUAAAGCUCUUUUACCCGGGAUGAUAAUGACAGUACCGGGAGAAUAAGCGCCGGCUAACUCCGUG